GCAUAUCAAUAAGCGGAGGAAAAGAAACCAACAGGGAUUGCCCUAGUAACGGCGAGUGAAGCGGCAACAGCUCAAAUUUGAAAUCUGGCGUCUUCGGCGUCCGAGUUGUAAUUUGCAGAGGGCGCUUUGGCAUUGGCAGCGGUCCAAGUUCCUUGGAACAGGACGUCACAGAGGGUGAGAAUCCCGUACGUGGUCGCUAGCCUUUACCGUGUAAAGCCCCUUCGACGAGUCGAGUUGUUUGGGAAUGCAGCUCUAAAUGGGAGGUAAAUUUCUUCUAAAGCUAAAUACUGGCCAGAGACCGAUAGCGCACAAGUAGAGUGAUCGAAAGAUGAAAAGCACUUUGGAAAGAGAGUUAAAAAGCACGUGAAAUUGUUGAAAGGGAAGCGCUUGCAGCCAGACUUGCCUGUAGUUGCUCAUCCGGGUUUCUACCCGGUGCACUCUUCUAUAGGCAGGCCAGCAUCAGUUUGGGCGGUUGGAUAAAGGUCUCUGUCAUGUACCUCCUUUCGGGGAGAACUUAUAGGGGAGACGACAUGCAACCAGCCCGGACUGAGGUCCGCGCAUCUGCUAGGA
rnacentral:rRNA from 1 species